ACUUGGGUAGCUCAGUCGGUUGAGCAUCUGACUUCGGCUCAGGGCAUGAUCUCUUGCGGGUUCGAGCCCUGUGUCAGGCU
rnacentral:tRNA from 1 species